GUUCCCCAAGUUUUGGACUCAAUCCGAUAUCGAUUGGCCAUUGAAAUCGGACAAUUCAGGUUCGUACGAAGUUCGUUCUGAAAUGGAGUGGUUAAUGUAUUGUAUAGUUCUAGAGAUUGGACUUCACUCAAAACCCACCAAAUGACUCCUCCCACAAUAUUAUGAUGUUCCCCAAGUUUUGGACUCAAUCCGAUAUCGAUUAGUCCUUGAAAUCGGACAAUUCAGGUUCGUA
rnacentral:lncRNA from 1 species